ACUUUAUCCUGAUCUAUGAAAAGGAAGUGAAAACCCCGACACUUUUAUUUUGUUUUGCUUCAAAUAAGAAUCUUUAGGUCUUGGGUUGGGUUUUCUUAGCAUGUAAUUUCAAUUCACUUAAAGCCACCAUCCUACGGGGUUUCCCUUUUGUAUCAACACAAAAUCGUUGGUCAAUCUCUCAAGCCAAAACAAAAGGAACUCAAACAAUGACCGGAAAAAGUAACUACAUUCGGCAUAGAUGAAGAUGCAAUACCCAGCAAAUAGAUUUUCUUAGGAAGGAAGAAUAUGUUCAUGCUGGAUGUGUUAUCCAGCAUCUAUAGGGAUGUGAAAGGCAGCAACAUGUUUCCCGUCAUAGACACAGAAGUAUCAGAUUUUGGUUUCUCAAAACUUGAAUUUGAUGGAGCUUCUGAUGCCGCAAUUAGUAUAAUUUACGAAUUUUUGGGUAUCUAGACAACGAUUCGAACAUGGCAUAGGAUCCCUUGAUUUAGUGGAUCUGGAUGAGCCUUACCUUCUGCUGGAUGAGUCCCCUGUACAUAACUCAAUGAUGUUCAAUGUCCAGGUACAGUUAGGUAAUACCUUGGGUAAUUUCAUUUCCCGCCUAGCUUCAAUCUUCUCUGUUACCUAUUCAUCACUCAUAAAAACCAACGCUAGCUUAAAAUAUGAGUUUUCUCUUUUCUUAUUACUGUUGCAAAUUGGUUGUGUAUAUAAUCACAAGAAUUUUUUCCUGGGUGAUGAGGAUGAUGAGGAUCAAAUGGUUGCAAUAAUAUGGUUGCCUCAUGAUGGGAUGAUGGGUAGGCAGAGUUUGCUGCUAUAGAUGAUAAGGAUAAAAGGCUUUACUUUGUAAUGUUAAUUUAUACUUGCUUGGGUUAAGUUACUUAAAGAGCUACCAUGUUAGAGGUAGUAGUGAAGAAAAGUAGGAUGGAGAUAGAGAUGUCCGAUACUGUAUUUUGGACUCUCAUAACCGGUUUGUCUUUGUCCUGCUAAAAAAAAAAAUUAAUGGUAAAUGUUUGAUUUGGAAAUAUACUAGCCCUUAACCCGUGCCGUAAUGGCACG